GCGUUGAUAGUGCAACGGUUCAGCACGCGUCCCCGGAUGGGGUGAAAUGUGGGUUCGAAUCCCAGUUGGCGCA